rnacentral:misc_RNA from 1 species
UUAAGUUCAGCGGGUAUCCCUACCUGAUCCGAGGUCAAUGGUGGAUGAUAUGCUUCUGGAGAGCCGACCUGCCGGGGCCUAGGGCGCGACUGUGCUGCGCUCACGGCCGGCGGAUGCGGGCUGCCAAUGACUUUGAGGUGAGUCGCCGCGCGGAGGCGGGACAAGCACCCAACACCAAGCGAGGCUUGAGGGUGUAAAUG